GACGAACGCUGGCGGCGUGCCUAAUACAUGCAAGUCGAACGCUUCUUUCCUCCCGAGUGCUUGCCCUCAAUUGGAAAGAGGAGUGGCGGACGGGUGAGUAACACGUGGGUAACCUACCCAUCAGAGGGGGAUAACACUUGGAAACAGGUGCUAAUACCGCAAAACAGUUUAUGCCGCAUGGCAUAAGAGUGAAAGGCGCUUUCGGGUGUCGUUGAUGGAUGGACCCGCGGUGCAUUAGCUAGUUGGUGAGGUAACGGCUCACCAAGGCCACGAUGCAUAGCCGACCUGAGAGGGUGAUCGGCCACACUGGGACUGAGACACGGCCCAGACUCCUACGGGAGGCAGCAGUAGGGAAUCUUCGGCAAUGGACGAAAGUCUGACCGAGCAACGCCGCGUGAGUGAAGAAGGUUUUCGGAUCGUAAAACUCUGUUGUUAGAGAAGAACAAGGACGUUAGUAACUGAACGUCCCCUGACGGUAUCUAACCAGAAAGCCACGGCUAACUACGUG
rnacentral:rRNA from 1 species